UUUUUAAGUAAUUUUUUACAAUUUUGCCCAUUGCCCUUUUCAUCUUGCGUACCCCUAGUGGAAGCUUGUGUACCACCGGUGAUACACGUACCACAGUUUAGGAAUCCCUGGUUUAUAAGUAUAAGUAAACCAGGGAUUCCCAAACUUAUUCCCACAGUUUGGAAAUCCCUGGUUUAGAGGAAGUUGCAAUGAACAGUGUGUGAGAGAAAAGUAAACAAGU